rnacentral:misc_RNA from 1 species
AGGGGGCCGGGGGCCAGCACAAAGGCCAGUAUUGGCUGAGCAGUGAUGAGGGAAGGACACGUGUUCCGUUUGUUCGCUUCUAAUAACUGAGCUAUUGGGCGCUACGUGUGCAGCGAGUCAUAGUGGCGGGAGUUGCACAUGACAGGAGGCGGCUCACGCGGAAGGCGCUGAAGAAAGGAGAAAGAAGAGACCUGGGGAUUUGAACAGCACCAUUCUCUGCUGUAGAAGUGAGUGCAAGUAAAUAAACAAGAAAGGAGAGGUCAAUAGUUAUCUUCUACGCCCUUAGAGACCUCAGGGAUACGUGACAUGGGUGCCGGUGCAGUGUGGGCGGUGUUAGGGGUGUGGGCGGCUCUCAUAUCCUUCGCCCCCACGCCCGCAGAAGGCUGGAUCCCUUUCUUCGGUCAGGAACUCCACAAACAUCUCAAUUUGGAAAGCCAUCAUCGAGAGUGGGAUAUUCUUGGACUCCUGAGCAUCAAUAAGACCCAAGCUGGCGUGUCCUCUGCUAAAGGUCCCCUCCCUGACACACCAGCAUGGAGACUUCGGGACCCAUAUGACAACAUCCAGCUCGGCCCUGAUCUCGUCCAUAAGAUUGCCUCCACCCUGCAUGACGAAGUGAGCCUCUAUUUCGUGUACAAACAACACAAGAAGACCCUCGGUUCCCUCCUCUCCAUCAACCUGCCUGGGAAGAUCAAACCCUUCAUUCAGGUGGUGUCCAAUCUGAAGACGCAACGCCUCAACUUCUUCUACCACGUGAAGGAAGACGCCAAGACCCACCAGGCGUCCUUCCACCUGCCAGACAAGGUUGGGUGGACUUGGACACGUCUUCUGCUGAGCGUGAACCAGACCGAUGCUCGUUUGUGGGUUAACUGCGCUCACUACAGUAAGGUCAGGCUGGCUGGGCACAUUGACCUUCAAAUACCUUCAGGAGGGUUGCUUUACUUCCGCCAAGAGCCUGGACUGAAGAACAAGCUGAUAGGCAGCAUCCAGAUGACGAAGCUCAUGAACUACAGCGUCAACAGUCGCAUCUGGAGGUGUUCCUAUGACUCGCAGUUUGGUCCCAGCUGGCGCCCUCCUCUUCUGGGCUAAACGGAUCCACUUAUCGCAAUUCCCCUCCUCUUCUUUAUUACCCGACCUGCUUCUCCCUGCACUCCUCCUCUCGCUCACCUCUCCACGUAUCUACAAAGGCAUGCCAUGUAUAACCACGUAACCAUAUCAGCAAGUUGCCUAUACUCUUACCUGUGACGCAGUUUUAAGUUUACUUCUCUCAUGUACACUCUCAUGAAUCUACUUCCGCACCCACGUCAAGUCUCACCAUUGUCAGUGUAAUUCUGUAUUCCCCACGUCUGUUUCCCGCCACCUGUCAGUGUUCAACCUAUCGAAACAUGUUGAAAGUAGCGAAGAGUGAAACAAUGUUGUAUCAAGCUAGAUUCAAGGACAGAGAACGUUACGAAAAUUAAUUAUUCCUCAAGAUGUGAAGAAAUCGAGAACUAAAUGAAGAAUGCGAAAACGUGAACAUCAUCUUUGAUUUUUCAAGACACGAAAGGAUCACGAAAAAUAUGAAGAGCUAAAAGCAUAACGCUACGAACACAAGAUCAGGUAAAGCAAGAAAUGUAAAAAAAUAAAUAAAUAAAUGAAAAUAGAAAUAAAUAGAUAAAUAAGAUAGAAGGAGAAGUUUACAAGAACUGAAACAUUUUUCUGUCAAGAUCAGAAAUUGUUGAAAAUAGCGGUGGAACUUCGGGAAAUCCAACAUAGAACAAAUGAACAUGAAGACCCUUUAGAGAACUUGACUUUUCCUUUUCCAAGUCAAGCUAUGAAAAAAUCAAGGUCUUUAUCCAUAAACAUAUUGAAUUUUUCCCUUUUGCAGUUUAAGACAACAGGAAAAUCAUUAUCUGUAGGGUAUUUCAUGACUUUUCUCUUCUCCAAUACAAGACGAGAGGAAAUUGAGUCCCUUUGCAGCUCUAGAUAAAGGAAAUUCAGGUCUUUAAAAGGAAAUUUGAAGCCUUUGAUCCUUUUCUCAUUAAGACGAGAAAAUCCGAGAGUCUUUUAGGGAACAUGAAAACUCUGAUAUUCUUUUUCAACUAAGAAGAAAUCCAAGCUUAAGGGAACUUGAAGAACAAAAGAUGGAGAACAGAAAGAACAAAACCCAACUUAUCCAUCCUGAAACUUGAACUUCGUCCUUCUUCAGAGUUUAAACAAGAACAAAGCAACAAAAACAGAAUUUAAGCUUUCCAUCCCCUUGAAGCCUCGUCCAUAUUCCUCAAGAAGAACAAAAACAACAAAAGGAACAUGAACAAAUCCCCUAUCCACACAGAACAAGAGGAUACUUACCCACACAUCUCCAUUUCCAUCUCUCAUCCACAUAUCCAAGUUCAAGGUGGCCAAAUGAUACGAAUUAGAAAUAAAGAAUUUUUUUGGGGUUUUUGCCUUGUAUUGUCUCUAAUUGGGCCGUAGGUGGUUAAGUUACAGUUGUUAGUUACGUAAUUAGCUGUGGUUUUAUGAGAAGUAGAUAUAGAUGUAAAUUGUUAGGACUGUUUCUUUCUUAUUUUUCAUGGUCUUGUCUUCCAAUACUCUCUCUCUCUCUCUCUCUCUCUCUCUCUCUCUCUCUCUCUCUCUCUCUCUUUCGCAUUCCGAGGUGACAAAAAUUAUGUGCUUUUUUCGUCCUUUUUUUUCUUUUUCUUUUUUAUUUUUUUAUUGACGAGCUUUUGAGAUUGAGACAAGGUGGCUGUGUGUGUGUGUGUGUGUGUGUGUGUGUGUGUGUGUGUGUGUGGGAAUAUCAGCACACUACUGCAUCCCUUCUUCGAUUUCCGCUAUACUUUCUCUGCCUCUGUCCUCUGUUACUGAGUUGAAAGAGAUUGACUGAUGGAUUGACUGAUUGAUGUAAAGCGUCGCAACAAAUGAGUCACACGGCGCUGCAAGUUUAAAUGGAAAGACAAACCUUCAGCAAUUGAUGUCUCAGUGAUUCGUUCGUCUCCAGUGAAGUAAAUACGAAAGUUACUGUUAACACUGUCACGUCUCGGUUUUCCUUUCAAGAGAGUGGACAGUACACUGGUCCCAUAAUGUUUUACGAACGAGUAAAUUGAAAAAGGAAAAUAAAAGAAAGAAUAAAAAGAAAAUAAAAAAUAAAAAUACGACAACGGAAAUGAAAAUGCAAAUAAUGAACUUUAUAAAUUGACUGACCAUAGAAGAGAAAGAGAAUAAGUGACAAGACUCCUAAGAGAAUGUAAUAGAAAAUAAAAGGAUAAGAAGUAAAACAGGAUAAAAUAAUAGGUCAGAGAACAAAAGAAGAAUAAACACCAAGAAUUAAGAGAGAAUGAAAUAGAAAGAACAAUAAGAAAUGAAGAAAAGAGAUGGAAAUAAAGUAACAGAACACGGACAAAUAAAAGAGUGAGAGAGUAACAAAAUAUAAAACAAAACAUCAGAAAAGAAAAAGUUAGAAAAAAUAAGAUUAAUCCACGAGAAAUAAAAAAGCGAUUAAUAAAAGACAACAGAUAAACAAACGAAUAGAAAAAAAAACUUAAGUAGAAAUAAAAGAAAAAGUAACAGAGGAUACAAAAACGAGGCUAAACUUUUCAAACAUAUCCUUCGGCAGCGCUCCUCAUAGAAACCAUCACUAGCCUGUAUUCAACGCAUUGCUCCCUCACCGCGACAAUCUCUCUCCACGACAAUUUUCCAAGGCUACAGAGACACUUUCAAAACAGUUCCUCCUCUAAAUUAACUACAAACCUUGCCAGUCCAUCACCCUAACUGUAAAAAUACGCUUAAAAACACGAGUAUCUUCAACUAAAGCCUUUGGAAACCAGUGAUGGUGAGAGAGCAAGGCGUUUCGUAGUACCAGCAUGAUAGAUCUAAUCAGAAGAAUACAUUAGAAAACAACCAAGUAUUAAAUCACUAUUACAUGUAUACCUCUACACUAUCACACGUAGGAGUAUACAUGGAUGCACUCAGAUUGUGACGUGUGCAGGAACCAGUCACCCCCAUGUAUAUCUGACCUUCGAGCCGAGGUUAUGUAUGUAUAUAUGUGCACGUAUGUAUAUGUAGACCUUUGAUUACGUGCACAUGCCUUGGAUAAUGUUUGUUCGUUUGUGUGUAAUAACUGUAGAUGCACCAAAUACCUGGAGAUGUUUGCCUAGGGGUCUUUAGUACGUGUGUGUGUGUGUGUGUGUGUGUGUGUGUGUGUGUGUGUGUGUGUGUGUGUGUGUGUGUGUGUCAUCAGCCUGGCGAGCCUUGUGUGUUAGUUUGUAGAUAACUGUCUCGUGAAGCUGACUGCUGAGUAAUGCUGAAGUCGCUGAGGUCACUGAAAUGAUUUUUGUUUUCCUUCUACCUUCCUUUGCUUAUUUACCGUUGCUACUUUUCAUUCUAAGUAUAAGUGGGUUUAUUUUACGUUUCCCCAUCACUCAAAAGUACAAAAAGUAAUAACUCUCUACAAGAAUAUUCAAUUAGUUUAAAAAUUCAAGUUUAUCCAUACUUUUUAGUGCAUUUAGUUGUUUUUUGUUUUAACAAGAAAUAUAACCUUUUUUUUCUAGUACACAUCACGUGGUUAUCGUUCCUUUUUCUGAUGUAUUGACACUAUUUCAACGAAGUUCUUGUUUUCCUUUCCUUUUCGCAUUUGAUUGAAUUCUUACCGUCUUCCCCUGCCCCACCCCUUUUCCCAGUGGGUCGCAGCAUUAGUCACGUAGCAGCCAAUCAGUAGAGUUCCUCGCAGACUCAUAUUUCCAGGUAUUGUCUUUUAUAUUUUCUCACACGAACAUAUGUAGACUAGAAGAAGAAAAAAUAUAUAUACUAAAAUUG